GGCUCAGGAUGACCGCUAGCGGGAGGCCUAACACAUGCAAGUCGAACGGGAUUGGGAGCUUGCUCCCAUGAGAGUGGCGCACGGGUGAGUAACGCGUAUGCAACCUACCUUUAACUGAGGGAUAGCCCAUAGAAAUGUGGAUUAAUACCUCAUAGUUCUGAGAGAUCGCAUGAUUUUUCAGAUAAAGCUCCGGCGGUUAAAGAUGGGCAUGCGUGACAUUAGUUUGUUGGUGAGGUAACGGCUCACCAAGACUACGAUGUCUAGGGGUUCUGAGAGGAUGAUCCCCCACACUGGUACUGAGACACGGACCAGACUCCUACGGGAGGCAGCAGUGAGGAAUAUUGGUCAAUGGGCGCAAGCCUGAACCAGCCAUCCCGCGUGAAGGAUGAAGGCCCUAUGGGUCGUAAACUUCUUUUAUACACCAAGAAAAACACCCACGUGUGGGUGCCCGACGGUAGUGUAUGAAUAAGCAUCGGCUAACUCCGUGCCAGCAGCCGCGGUAAUACGGAGGAUGCAAGCGUUAUCCGGAUUCAUUGGGUUUAAAGGGUGCGUAGGCGGCUUUUUAAGUCAGUGGUGAAAUCUUGCCGCUUAACGGUAAAAUUGCCAUUGAUACUGACAAGCUUGAGUACAUUUGAGGUAAGCGGAAUGUGUAGUGUAGCGGUGAAAUGCUUAGAUAUUACACAGAACACCGAUUGCGAAGGCAGCUUACUAAACUGUUACUGACGCUGAUGCACGAAAGCGUGGGGAGCGAACAGGAUUAGAUACCCUGGUAGUCCACGCCGUAAACGAUGAUCACUCGCUGUAUGCGAUACACAGUAUGCGGCCAAGCGAAAGCAUUAAGUGAUCCACCUGGGGAGUACGAUCGCAAGGUUGAAACU
rnacentral:rRNA from 1 species